CGCCUCGGGCCCGACCGGCGGGACCCCCGCGGGAGCUCCGGGCACACGGACACCGGUGCCCCGGGACCGACCGGCGGGACCCCCGCGGGAGCUCCGGGCACACGGACACCGGCGCCCCGGGACCGACCGGGUGUCCGCUCCCUCAGCUCCGGCCUCCUCCGAGAUGCAGCGGGGCAAAGCGACUCCUCACAGCUUUCGGAAGAAAAGCAGUUUGUAAAUUUUAAAAAAUGUUAAUAAAGGCAAGAAGCUGUAAAACUGAGUCUAGGUGACUGCAUCUGUCAGCAAACAUACCAGGUGUUGCUGUAGAGACAGACAAAUGUCUGGGAAUGGCACACCUCAUAGGGCUCAGUCACUCUCAGCCUGUCCCACUUCACCCUCUGUGGCUUCAUGGAUUUUGAAAAAGAUGGUAAAGGAGAAGAAUCACACAGCCUUCAACACAUUUUGGAUGAGCCACAUCCAGAUCUGAUGUCCCUGUCUCCUGCCCAUCAGCAGCUCUGGUGAAACCCUCUACAGCUUGGGCAGCAAGCAAGUGUGAAGGGCAGGACAGAAGUGCUGCCAGCCUCAGGAUUCCUGAAUCAUGACUCAACAAUGAGGAGAUGCUGGAACCUAAAGGUUUGCUUGUGCCCCUAGAACAAGAUGGACAAUAGUGCUUGUUUGGCCAGCUCCUUGCCCACCCCCUGCCUCAAGUCUCCUUGUUCUGUUAUCUGAAUGCUCUUCCUGCUCUUUGGUUCCUUAAUGAGCCUGGCACAGCUUGUUCUUUCCUAUCUCCACAUCCAGUGUUGUUACACCCCUCCUACCAUUUUUAGCUCCUCUUUUGCUCCUCGUUUCACUGGCUCCAAUACUGCUGCUCUCUCCACAGCUCCCAAGACUAGCUGCUUGCUUUUUCAAAUAGUCUUCCCUCUCUCUAGGCCUUGCUUCCACUACAGCAAUCACUCUUGACUUUUAUAAUCCCAUGCACUCUGAUUUUCCAUCUAGUCACGUUAUUCAGCCAGUCAAGGUUCUUUUCUCCCAAAGGGUUCCAUCCCUUUGUUUUCCAGUAACUCCUUCUGUCUUUAUCCUCACAACAGACAGUAUCAUAAAGCUCCUGGCCCUGAUCUAUUCUCCAUGUUUCCCUUCCCCAAGGGACUUGCUGUUCUCCUUUCACUCAGCUGCUCCUCCUUCCCCUGCCUGGUCCAGAGCAGUCACCAGAGGUUGGGUCCUUACCCAAGAUGGCUGGCGCUCACAUAACCUUAUCCCACCUUUGUGACACAGUGUUGACAACAGAUCUUGGAAGAACUACACAGGGAAAAUCUCAAAUGUCCCUACAGAGCAUGCAUGAAAUGGAUUUUUUUUAAAGGUUUAUCAUUGAUCAAAAUUUGACAUGGAUUUUUAUGGGGACAGUGAGUAGUGUAGCUCUGACAUAAGGACAGCUCUCCUUCAUAGGUUUCAGCUUCCUCCUCCAAAGCAGUUGGGCAAAAGACUGUUCUUUUUAGCAUACACUUUAACACUCAAAUCCAAAAUAUUUUGCUCUGCCUUUUAUUUCUCCCUGAGUAGAUUUAAUGUACAGGCUGAAGCCAUAUUUAAAAAGAAAACAAAAAUUAUAAAAAAAUCAGAUGUAGGCAGACAGCCAGAAUGGAACAUUUCAGCUCCAAUCACAAAAAUUACAAGCAACUGAAUGGUUUAGGGUAGGAAUGCCCAGUCUAUCUAAUUCCAUCUCUGCUGGUAAAUUUCUCCUUGCUAAACCUGCACUUUGAACUUGCCACUCUGGGCUCAAUCACAUUGCUGUCCCCAGCAGCUUCAGAGUAAGGCAGGAAUACAGGACUUGCUUUGCCAUAGAUCAGGGCUUCUCAGAAGCUUUGUCUGAAUUGUGAGGCAGGUGGGGAAAUGAGGCCUGAUAACUGGAAACAAAUUCACACACAAAGCCUAAAAUAUUUCUGUGGAAAGAGAGAAGGUCAAACGCAAAAGCUGGAGCUUCUCAUAACGCGGUUGGUCUGUUAGCAAUGUCACCAGUGUAAAUCAAUCCAUUUAAAAACAGUCUUGUCACACCUCCAUAAAUGGCUAAUGUGGACAUGUUCAAAGCCUCACCUAAGACAGAACAUUUUGAAGUGGUAUAAUUAAAUCUGGUGUAUUCUUAAAGGAUGAGGCACCUGUUCUCUGAGUGCAAUCAAACUGAGAGCCUGCAGGCUGGCAUGGCUCGCUGCCCGGGACGCCGAUGCCGUUCCUGUGCCCGCUUGCAGCUCACAGACGCUGGGUGGCAACUCUCGCUCCUGCAGAAAUGCAGCUCCUGCUCCCGGGGCAGCAGCCGGGCUGCAGCACUCACCCUGUCUGCCUGUGAGAGGUGCAAGACGGGAAAGGCUGCACGGCACAGGACCUGACAUGGUGGCUGAGGAGAACAGGAGGAGAGGAGGAAAUGGCUGCUGGCAGGGCAGGCAGGCCCUGACAAGUGGGAUGCUCCAGCAGGGUCUGUACACGGCCACUGCAGUCAGAACAGCCCUCCUCCCGCAGCUGUGGUGCCGUGAAAAGCUGGGCUUCCCACUGCAGCAGGCACUGAGCAGGCACAUCUGCUCUGCUGCCAGAGCCAAGAGAGGAGCAACAUCUACUGCAGGAGCCAGGGGACAGGAGCACCCAAACUGUGACGAUUUCCACUAAGCAAGCGUGUGCCCAAACCAGAGAUUUAUCCAAUUAAAAGCCAGGCUUGGAGCAGUUUAAGUUUGUCCUCUGCAUUAGGCAUUAUGAUGUUUUACUAAACAGAUGUAAAGUUGCUUUAAACAUCACGUGCAAAUGGUGUGGUGUGGACUGUACACUGCAAACUAGAGCUCUGUGUUAACUCAAACUGGCGCAACCUCGCUUGGCCCUUCAGCUACUCUCUAGGUAAAAGAAAGCAAAAACGGGUAUAUUCCCAAGGAGGCAGGCUGGAGACUGGCUUAAUAGGUGCCCAAGAGCACAGAAACCUUUAAAAAAACGAGAGGGAAGAAUUGUCAGAAGGACUCAGGGCUUCCAUUCUCUGAGUCCAGAGCUCCCUCUCCAAGUCACUGGAGUGCUGCGUGUGUCUGCCCGCUUGUUUCUCACAGAUGCCAGAGAAUCAUCUGCAAACAAAACGUAUGACAGGCAGAAUAAAACGGGCAGCAAUUUGCAGACUCCAUCCUCGACCGCCUCAUGCUCCCCUGCAGACGCUUUCCCUGUAAAACAGAUCCGCCACAGGGGGACUCCCUGUAAAACACAGAGUUUGCAAAGGGGGCUCCUGCGUUUGCUGCCGGAAAGCCAACAGACAAAGGGACCACACCUCAGCGGCAGCGCCGGUGCCGGUGGCCGCCGCUGGGGCCGCGGUGGGCACGCAGCCACGGGCGUGCUCCUGGCAGACCCCUUCUCUGGUUUCACCGGGGCGAGGCCCGAUGGAGCACCUUCCCCAAUGGAAGCAGCAGCCGUGGGUUCCUCACAGGGAAAAGAGAAUGCUUCCUGCCUUUCCUUGCAGCAGCAUCCGAACUUGCUGCUGCUGCUGCUCUAAGACCCUAAGACCUUGAAUGUUCUGCCAGGAUCUGACUGAAGGGAUGCAGGCAUCUUCACUGCAUCCCAUCCAACAAGGAAACACCUCACUCUCUUGUCACCAUUCAUUACUAUUUCCCAGCCCACCUUUUAAUCCACAAAGUCUAUAAUU